rnacentral:ncRNA from 1 species
GGUUUGGAGCGAAAAAACACGGCCCGGUUGGUAGUCCGGGCGCACGCGGCUUGGAACGCUUGAAUCCGGCGGCGUGUCAGUAACCUUCCCCCCUCGGGAUGUCCAUCGCUUCCGAUUGAACA